rnacentral:lncRNA from 1 species
CAGGAAUCGCGAUUGCAUUUAUCAUAUGCAAUAAGGCUUUAAACCCCUAGGUGGCCCUAGUGGACGAGUUUUGUCUCGUGAGGGUUUCUGGCUCAGAUACCCACAAACUGCUGUCUCUACCCAAAAAAUUUAUUUUAUCGUUUUAUAAAAUCUAAUUUCAAAUGCAUAAGUGCCAAGAAUUCCAAAAGCACACAAAGUUUUAAUUACUAAGUCAGCCCAAAUCCUAGGUC